CAGCUCUAUCGUCAUUGUAU
rnacentral:miRNA from 1 species